rnacentral:rRNA from 1 species
GGCUAAAUCCGUGCCAGCAGCCGCGGUAAUACGGGGGGUGCAAGCGUUAAUCGGAAUCACUGGGCGUAAAGGGUGCGUAGGCGGUACGUUAGGUCUGUCGUGAAAUCCCCGGGCUCAACCUGGGAAUGGCGGUAGAAACCGGCGCACUAGAGUAUGGGAGAGGGUGGUGGAAUUCCAGGUGUAGCGGUGAAAUGCGUAGAGAUCUGGAGGAACAUCAGUGGCGAAGGCGGCCACCUGGCCCAAUACUGACGCUGAGGCACGAAAGCGUGGGGAGCAAACAGGAUUAGAUACCCUGGUAGUCCACGCCCUAAACGAUGAAUACUAGAUGUUUGGUACCUAGCGUACUGAGUGUCGUAGCUAACGCGAUAAGUAUUCCGCC